rnacentral:sRNA from 1 species
UCAAACGUCACCUUCUUCUCUUUACCGUCAUCAUUAACAAUGGUGCCGGUAUAGAGAACAAGACCA